rnacentral:rRNA from 1 species
CCAAUAGCGUAUAUUAAAGUUGUUGCAGUUAAAAAGCUCGUAGUUGAAUUUCGGGAUCAGUACGCCGGUCGUGCCUUCGGUAUGCACUGGUGUCACUGGUUUCUCCCUUCUGAAGAACCAUCAUGCCAUUCAGUUGGUGUGGCGGGGAAUCAGGACUGUUACUUUGAAAAAAUUAGAGUGUUUAAAGCAGGCCCGCGCUUGAAUACAUUAGCAUGGAAUAAUGACAUAGGACGUUUGACCCUAUUUUGUUGGUUUCUAGGAUCGACGUAAUGAUUAAUAGGGAUAGUUGGGGGCAUUAGUAUUCAAUUGUCAGAGGUGAAAUUCUUGGAUUUAUUGAAGACUAACUACUGCGAAAGCAUUUGCCAAGGAUGUUUUCAUUAAUCAAGAACGAAAGUUAGGGGAUCGAAGACGAUCAGAUACCGUCGUAGUCUUAACCAUAAACUAUGCCGACUAGGGAUCGGAUGAUGUUAAUUUUUUAAUGACUCAUUCGGCGCCUUACG